GACGAACGCUGGCGGCGUGCCUAAUACAUGCAAGUUGAGCGCUGAAGGUUGGUACUUGUACCGACUGGAUGAGCAGCGAACGGGUGAGUAACGCGUGGGGAAUCUGCCUUUGAGCGGGGGACAACAUUUGGAAACGAAUGCUAAUACCGCAUAAAAACUUUAAACACAAGUUUUAAGUUUGAAAGAUGCAAUUGCAUCACUCAUAGAUGAUCCCGCGUUGUAUUAGCUAGUUGGUGAGGUAAAGGCUCACCAAGGCGAUGAUACAUAGCCGACCUGAGAGGGUGAUCGGCCACAUUGGGACUGAGACACGGCCCAAACUCCUACGGGAGGCAGCAGUAGGGAAUCUUCGGCAAUGGACGAAAGUCUGACCGAGCAACGCCGCGUGAGUGAAGAAGGUUUUCGGAUCGUAAAACUCUGUUGGUAGAGAAGAACGUUGGUGAGAGUGGAAAGCUCAUCAAGUGACGGUAACUACCCAGAAAGGGACGGCUAACUACGUG
rnacentral:rRNA from 1 species